rnacentral:rRNA from 1 species
AGAGUUUGAUCCUGGCUCAGGACGAACGCUGGCGGCGUGCUUAACACAUGCAAGUCGAGCGGAAAGGCCCUUCGGGGUACUCGAGCGGCGAACGGGUGAGUAACACGUGAGUAACCUGCCCCAGACUUUGGGAUAACCCUCGGAAACGGGGGCUAAUACCGAAUAUGACUUCUGAUCGCAUGGUCGGUGGUGGAAAGUUUUUCGGUUUGGGAUGGACUCGCGGCCUAUCAGCUUGUUGGUGGGGUAAUGGCCUACCAAGGCGACGACGGGUAGCCGGCCUGAGAGGGCGACCGGCCACACUGGGACUGAGACACGGCCCAGACUCCUACGGGAGGCAGCAGUGGGGAAUAUUGCACAAUGGGCGGAAGCCUGAUGCAGCGACGCCGCGUGAGGGAUGACGGCCUUCGGGUUGUAAACCUCUUUCAGCAGGGACGAAGCGUAAGUGACGGUACCUGCAGAAGAAGCGCCGGCCAACUACGUGCCAGCAGCCGCGGUAAGACGUAGGGCGCGAGCGUUGUCCGGAUUUAUUGGGCGUAAAGAGCUCGUAGGCGGCUUGUCGCGUCGAAUGUGAAAUCUCAGGGCUCAACUCUGACAUUGCAUUCGAUACGGGCAGGCUAGAGUUCGGUAGGGGAGACUGGAAUUCCUGGUGUAGCGGUGAAAUGCGCAGAUAUCAGGAGGAACACCGGUGGCGAAGGCGGGUCUCUGGGCCGAUACUGACGCUGAGGAGCGAAAGCGUGGGGAGCGAACAGGAUUAGAUACCCUAGUAGUCC